AAACUGUAAUAACUGAGGUACAUUGCCGGUCGGAUGAUCUAGGCAAUUGGGCCUCAGUGUACUUGCUUAGGUGGUCAGGAAUUUUUUGCAAUGGUCCAUCUCGAAUAUUGUCAGGCCCGUCCUUCACACCUGGAAGCCCUAUUGCGGACAUAGCCAAACCUAGGGUGGGUCUGAAAAAAAGGACCUUCUUAGUACUCACAGGACGAAUAUGUCGGAGAAAAUUGAGAGCGGGUAGAACCGUAGAAGUGUAGAAAAACGUGCCGAAGAGUGAAAAAAAAUAUUCGAUGGAUGAGAACAUUUCGAGUUAUGAAACGAAACUUCGAGAAAGAGGAAAAUUUUGAUGAAAUGUGAACUUAGUUUAUGAAUGGUCAACGAAGUGUGUUCAGUUAUUAAUUUCUCUGUAUGGUGCGUUAAUAAGAAAAUACGAAAGAAAAAACACACUUUUUUUAAAUUUUGAGACCAAUUUGUAGUGAAUUAAGCAACUAAACAUUUGAUAAAUCAUCGUUAUCUAUCAAUAACCUUGAGCAUUACGUAAGUUUACGUACUAUACAGUA